rnacentral:misc_RNA from 1 species
UUCAUUGAUCUUUCAGAGGGAGCAGUAGAUGGUUACUAGAAUUCAAAAAUGAGUUUGAUGUUUUCGCGACUGAGGCAGCAUUUGCAUGCUGUACUCUUCAAACGAUCUGUUCGAUCCAAUGUGGCAGACUCCUGUUUUGUUACCUCAACUGUUUUUACUCGACAUUUCUCUCAGCAAGUAGAGAUUAACCAGAGAAAGCUUCCAGCAGAUUAUGAUCCUGUGACUUUUGAUCCUACUGAGCAUCG